AGCAGCCGCGGUAAUUCCAGCUCCAAUAGCGUAUAUUAAAGUUGUUGCAGUUAAAAAGCUCGUAGUUGAAUUUCGGGGUUAGUAGGUUGGUCAUGCCACUGGUAUGUACUGAUCUUACUGAUUCCUCCUUCCUGAUGAACCGUAAUGCCAUUAAUUUGGUGUUGCGGGGAGACUGGACUGUUACUUUGAAAAAAUUAGAGUGUUUAAAGCAGGCUAACGCUUGAAUACAUUAGCAUGGAAUAAUGAAAUAGGACGUUCGAUCCUAUUUUGUUGGUUUCUAGGAUUGACGUAAUGAUUAAUAGGGAUAGUUGGGGGCAUUAGUAUUCAAUUGUCAGAGGUGAAAUUCUUGGAUUUAUUGAAGACUAACUACUGCGAAAGCAUUUGCCAAGGAUGUUUUCAUUAAUCAAGAACGAAAGUUAGGGGAUCGAAGACGAUCAGAUACCGUCGUAGUCUUAACCAUAAACUAUGCCGACUAGGGAUCGGAUGAUGUUAAUUUUUUAAUGACUCAUUCGGCGCUUAA
rnacentral:rRNA from 1 species